UUUAACUUUGUAUGUUUUCUUGUAAUUCUAAUUUGAUAUGCAACACAAAGCAAAAGCAAUUCUAACUGAUGUUUUAUUCCGUAAGGGUUAUGGGGUGGAGAACUUUUCUUAUUCUAUAGACUGGCGUUCUGAUGAAAGGAUAUCCGCUUCACACGCGCGUGAACAUAUAACAGAGUUAACCAGGAAAGAAACAUAAUUGUCAAUUCAACUUCAGCAACCCUGAAUGUCCUUGAGACUUGUUAAUAGUCUUAGGGGGAAAGCAGCAUCAUUGGAAACUAAAUGCGCUUGAACUGAAACGCCAUAUUUGAUUAGAGAAAUGUGUUGAACGAAAACCUCUUUUCCUUUGGUACAAACUUUCAACAAAGUAGCUUCGAUUAUAUGGACAUUAAAGGGUGCUACUUCGGCGUGUGAUCGACAACCGACAACUGAAAUAGCUGUUGCCUAAUGAGCCUCUCGACUGAGAAUCAUAGUUGGUAGUACACACUAUCCAAUGCCCUUGACAGCUAUGGACUGUACAUUAUUUUCAGUGAAGAUCAGUGUUUGAUUGUUCGUGACAAAGUUUAAAUUCCAUAGAGAUUUGAACCUCAACCGCAAGAUAUUCAGUUAAAGAUCACGAGUGAGCCACCACAGUUUUACGUGAUUGAUGUAUAAACCAACUAAUCAACAUGGAGUUGUGGCGCGAUACAGCUCCUCAGAUUACCUAAAAUUCACUCCAUUUUCACCCUAUAAAAGCCGUUUGGCGCCUUACUCACUCAAGCAACUUCGAGAGACCGUUAUGAUCUGACGGCCCUGGACACUCGCGUUGACCACUUCAGACACUCACAGAAGGCUUAGACCAAACCAUAUCGGGUACUCGGACAGACCACCUUGAGCAAGAAACAACUUCGGGUACUGACACACAAUGUAUAACAGCUAGGUUUCUAAUAGACACAGCGCGGUUCUCCCCUCCCAGUUAAUGGUUAUAUCAUCAACAUCUUUCUUUUGUAAUGAGCCAAUGCAGUAAAUCAU